GAACGGAGAAUUGCUAGCUUGCUAAUAAUUCUCUAGUGGCGCACGGGUGAGUAACACGUGAGUACCUGCCCCCAAGAGUGGGAUAGCCCCGGGAAACUGGGAUUAAUACCGCAUAAAGCAAUAAAGCAGCAAUGCGCUUGGGGAUGGGCUCGCGUCCUAUUAGUUAGUUGGUGAGGUAACGGCUCACCAAGGCGAUGACGGGUAGCCGGUCUGAGAGGAUGUCCGGCCACACUGGAACUGAGACACGGUCCAGACACCUACGGGUGGCAGCAGUCGAGAAUCAUUCACAAUGGGGGAAACCCUGAUGGUGCGACGCCGCGUGGGGGAUAAGGUCUUCGGAUUGUAAACCCCUGUCAUGUGGGACAUUAAAAGAUAGUACCACAAGAGGAAGAGACGGCUAACUCUGUGCCAGCAGCCGCGGUAAUACAGAGGUCUCAAGCGUUGUUCGGAAUCACUGGGCGUAAAGCGUGCGUAGGCGGUUUCGUAAGUCGUGUGUGAAAGGCGGGGGCUCAACCCCCGGACUGCACAUGAUACUGCGAGACUAGAGUAAUGGAGGGGGAACCGGAAUUCUCGGUGUAGCAGUGAAAUGCGUAGAUAUCGAGAGGAACACUCGUGGCGAAGGCGGGUUCCUGGACAUUAACUGACGCUGAGGCACGAAGGCCAGGGGAGCGAAAGGGAUUAGAUACCCCUGUAGUCCUGGC
rnacentral:rRNA from 1 species